rnacentral:rRNA from 1 species
UACAGAGGUCUCGAGCGUUGCGCGGAUUUAUUCGGGCUUAAAGGGUGCGUAGGCGGGCUUGUAAGUACCUUGUGAAAUCCCACAGCUCAACUGUGGAACUGCUUGGUAGACUGCAAGCCUUGAGGUCGGUAGGGGUCGCUGGAGCAGUUGGUGGAGCGGUGAAAUGCGUAGAUAUCAACUGGAACGCCCAAGGCGAAGGCAAGCGACUGGGCCGAUUCUGACGCUGAGGCACGAAAGCGUGGGGAGCAAACGGG